rnacentral:lncRNA from 1 species
AGUGGUCCAAACACAUGGAGAGGGUCAUGAACAUAGGGAAACUAUUAGGAGAACACAUUCGCCUCCAAAAGGUCUUGGCCAGAAUUGUCAACAAAGAUGUUGUAAAUGAGGUUGGGAAGUUUUACUUCCAGCUAGAGCGAGAUGAACAACGACUUCACCGAGUUGAAGACAUAUCACGGUAAUCGAUUGCGAGCGAUACAUUGCUUCGAAACAUCUUGAUUCGUUAUUCAUUUUAUAAGUUGAGAAUUUUACAUAUUGUUG